rnacentral:rRNA from 1 species
UUGGUCAUUUAGAGGAAGUAAAAGUCGUAACAAGGUCUCCGUAGGUGAACCUGCGGAGGGAUCAUUACACAAAUAUGAAGGCGGGCUGGAACCUCUCGGGGUUACAGCCUUGCUGAAUUAUUCACCCUUGUCUUUUGCGUACUUCUUGUUUCCUUGGUGGGUUCGCCCACCACUAGGACAAACAUAAACCUUUUGUAAUUGCAAUCAGCGUCAGUAACAAAUUAAUAAUUACAACUUUCAACAACGGAUCUCUUGGUUCUGGCAUCGAUGAAGAACGCAGCGAAAUGCGAUAAGUAGUGUGAAUUGCAGAAUUCAGUGAAUCAUCGAAUCUUUGAACGCACAUUGCGCCCUUUGGUAUUCCAAAGGGCAUGCCUGUUCGAGCGUCAUUUGUACCCUCAAGCUUUGCUUGGUGUUGGGCGUCUUGUCUCUAGCUUUGCUGGAGACUCGCCUUAAAGUAAUUGGCAGCCGGCCUACUGGUUUCGGAGCGCAGCACAAGUCGCACUCUCUAUCAGCAAAGGUCUAGCAUCCAUUAAGCCUUUUUUUCAACUUUUGACCUCGGAUCAGGUAGGGAUACCCGCUGAACUUAAGCAUAUCAAUAAG